AUUGAACGCUGGCGGCAUGCUUUACACAUGCAAGUCGAACGGUAACAGGCCGCAAGGUGCUGACGAGUGGCGAACGGGGGAGUAAUGCAUUGGCACGUGCCCUGUCGUGGGGGAUAACUGCCCGAAAGAGCAGCUAAUACCGCAUACGAUCUAUGGAUGAAAGCGGGGGACCGUAAGGCCUUGUGCGAUUGGAGCGGCUGGUGUCAGAUUAGGUAGUUGGUGGGGUAAAGGCACACCAAGCCAACGAUCUGUAGCUGGUCUGAGAGGACGACCAGCCACACUGGAACUGAGACACGGCCCAGACUCGUACGGGAGGCAGCAGUGGGGAAUUUUGGACAAUGGGGGCAACCCUGAUCCAGCAAUGCCGCGUGCAGGAAGAAGGCCUUCGGGUUGUAAACUGCUUUUGUACGGAACGAAACGGUCUGGGUUAAUACCCUGGGCUAAUGACGGUACCGUAAGAAUAAGCACCGGCUAACUACGUGCCAGCCGCCGCCGUAAUAC
rnacentral:rRNA from 1 species